rnacentral:misc_RNA from 1 species
UCUCCGUAGGUGAACCUGCGGAGGGAUCACUACAGAGUUCAUGCCCUACCGGGUAGAUCUCCCACCCUAUGUUAUUAUUACUUUGUUGCUUUGGCGGGCCGUUAGGCUCCGGCCCGACUACCGGCCCCGGCUGGUAAGCGCCCGCCAGAGGACCCAAAGCCCUGAACAUUAGUGUCGUCUGAGUACUAUAUAAUAGUUAAAACUUUCAACAACGGAUCUCUUGGUUCUG